rnacentral:lncRNA from 1 species
AGGUGUCACCAAAAUGCCAUCUGGGGGAAAGCAGAGGGAGGAAGAUGGAUAUAUGAGAGAUUUAAAUUUUUGCUCCAAGAGACUGCACAUUACUUAAAAGACACAAAGUGAGCACUUGCUGUUGGAAAUAAUGGCACCAACAGACUUGCUUGAUACACGGUUGCCACAAACCUUCAAUUUGUGAAAAACACAGUUAUCUAUGAAGUGCAAUGAAGUGAACUGCAACAGAAUGAGGUGUGCCUGUAUUUACAAUUAAAAUUAUGCCCCCAAUGAUUUCAUUCAUCUAUGUUUCCACAAAAUAUUUAUGUAGCAUAGAAUUUAUAUAUUCUCUGGUAAUUUUAGAUCCCAAUCUUACCACUGCUAUUCAACAUAGUUUUGCAAGUCCUAGCCAGAGAAAUCGGGCAAGAGAAAAAUAAAAGUCAUCCAAAUACAAAGAGAGGAAGUCAAACUAUUUCUUCAAAGAUGAUCAUUCUAUACCUAGAAAGCCCCAUAGUCUUUGCCCAAAGGC